rnacentral:other from 1 species
GUUCUACUGCGACGUUGGUGACUGCCGAUAUCGUUUUAUGAUCUACAACUCACUCAUCAGGGAAACAAGCUGUGUUAGUGGCAGUAUACCGAGCAUGUUCUCGGAAACUUUAAGCUAGCGCCAAGAUUCCCACCUGGAUUUAUUCCAGGUCAAAAACUGAGGUAAGACGGCGUCGCGGGGAACUU